AUGAAGACAUGGAAAAGGACAUGGAUAAAAGAUUCCGCUUCUAGAGAAAAAGUGGUUGGUGAAAACUUUUGGAAGAACUUUUAUUUACUACCUUGGAGUUGCCCUCGAAAGAGUGAGCCGUAUUUCUUGCGUUAAAAGAACGAAAGUGCAUAGUAGAUGAAAUCUAUUAUGAACUAAGGUGGUACCGCGUAUGAAACGUCCUUAGA
rnacentral:ncRNA from 1 species